ACACCACACGUACUGCUAAGCAUCAUAGGUCGACUAAGAUUAGUUCACGCAACACAAUAUAAAGUCAAUAAGAUAAGCAGAUAAGUCAAUGAAACUCAAGUUCUAAAUUAAGGUUAUUACAUCCCCGUAGUUGGCCUUCCCACUCUCGCUAUUCAAUUCUUUUAAUUCCAAGAAUUACGGGCGAUCUACUUACUCACAGUCGUUCCCUCCCUUCCAUCCAACCUAUUCCCUCAUGUCUGCAUACUCAUCGUAUACUCUAGCUUCUACCCUUUAUGUAUCUAUUGAAGAAGGUGGAGACUCCAGCAGUACGACAUAGCUUCAGGCAAGGGAACAAGGUGGCAGACUCGUUGGCUCGACAUGGAGUGCAACAACCUUUUGGAACUCAUCCUCUCUUAGUAUUAUCCCCUAUCGAAGAUAUAUUACCACUUUUGCAAGCCGAUAAAGAUGGCGUAGUAUCUAUUAAAGUAGUAAACCAAUCUACAUGUAAUAGUUUAGCUAUUCUUGGCAAUCUGUGUGUAACCUCUACUAUCGAUGGAGCUCCCGAACGACCAUCUAAUGUAAUUCUCUAGUAUUAAUAAUUUAAUUAUCCAACCGGUUGUCGGUCCGGUCCGGUCCUGUUACGACCGGUUAACGGACUUAAUCUCAGGUUGUACCGUCCCUUUCUCCUUUUCUUUCCCCUAAAAAUCCAAAAUGCACUUUGGAUCCCU